UAAACACCAUCACUAAAGUUAGCAACUAGGAAGAGUGGUGAGAGGAAUAAAAUUUAUCCUCAUAACUUUGAUGUUGUAGUUCAUGGAAUGGAAGAUUCUGAUCAUGUUCAUGUUUUAACCAGUAUGUACCUGAAUGGACGCGAGUCAAGAUCGUCCUGCAUAAUUAUUUUUUAUUAACAUAAUAGGAUCUCUUGUCACUUAUUUUGGUUAUUUCAAAAACAAACAAACAAAAAAAAAAUCUAAAGUUUGAUCUUCACACAUUUGGGGCAUACUCUAGAGUAAUUACCAAAAAAAAAAUUGGAUAAGGAGUUUUCAAAUUACUUCAUAAUGUUUUCUUUUUGUAUCUCCCAAUUUGUGGUGGUAUCCUCCAAUUGUGGGUUCUAAUUAAACUAUAGUAAUUUAUAUAGACCAAAAAUUCACUUUU